ACACGCAUGACACACUGCAUAUCAAUAAGCGGAGGAAAAGAAACUAACAAGGAUUCCCUUAGUAACGGCGAGUGAAGCGGGAAGAGCUCAAAUUUGAAAUCUUCAAGGUUUUACCUUGACGAAUUGUAGUUUAAAGAAGUGUUUUCUGUUGGAGUUUUGGUAAAAGUUCUUUGGAAUAGGACAUCAUAGAGGGUGAGAAUCCCGUAUUUGACCAUUAUUUCCAGCUGUGUGAUACACUUUCAAAGAGUCGGAUUGUUUGGGAAUGCAGUCCAAAAUGGGUGGUAAAUUUCAUCUAAAGCUAAAUAUUGGCGAGAGACCGAUAGCGAACAAGUACCGUGAGGGAAAGAUGAAAAGAACUUUGAAAAGAGAGUUAAACAGUACGUGAAAUUGUCAAAAGGGAAGCGUUUGACACCAGUGUUGUUUUCUCGAAAAUCAAUUAAAAAUGAUGGGAUUUUGUGUUGUAUUGACUUUAUCAGCUUUCUGCACUUUUUUCUUAUCUUUUUUAAUGCACUUUUCGUUUAACAAGUCAACAUCAAUUUCUUUUGUUGUAAAAGAGUCAUUGGAAGGUGGCUUUUUCUUCGGAAAAAGUGUUUAUAGCCUUUGGCUUCUGCAAUCGGAGAGAUUGAGGUCUGCAGCGUAGAUCCUUCGGGGUUAGAUACAUUUGUGCUAAGCUAUAGUUCUUUAUAGACAACUUGUUGACUAUAAUCAAUCCUGUAACUUACUCGCUUAUGCUAUUUUACCUACGCUUAGGAUGUUGAAGACUCUACAGAGAUA
rnacentral:rRNA from 1 species